rnacentral:rRNA from 1 species
GAUGAACGCUGGCGGCGCGCCUAACACAUGCAAGUCGAACGGCACCCCUCCUCGGAGGGAAGCGAGUGGCGAACGGCUGAGUAACACGUGGAGAACCUGCCCCCUCCCCCGGGAUAGCCGCCCGAAAGGACGGGUAAUACCGGAUACCCCGGGGUGCCGCAUGGCACCCCGGCUAAAGCCCCGACGGGAGGGGAUGGCUCCGCGGCCCAUCAGGUAGACGGUGGGGUGACGGCCCACCGUGCCGACAACGGGUAGCCGGGUUGAGAGACCGACCGGCCAGAUUGGGACUGAGACACGGCCCAGACUCCUACGGGAGGCAGCAGUGGGGAAUCUUGCGCAAUGGGGGGAACCCUGACGCAGCGACGCCGCGUGCGGGACGGAGGCCUUCGGGUCGUAAACCGCUUUCAGCAGGGAAGAGUCAAGACUGUACCUGCAGAAGAAGCCCCGGCUAACUACGUG